GCAGUGAUUAUUUUUAAUUGAAACAACUAAACCAGCUAUAAGAAAGGGAACAGCCAAUAUCAAGAAAUGGAUCCAAUGCAGAUUUAUUCCUCUUACUUUCCUACUUUGGAACUCCUCUGCAGAGAAGAAAUGCAGUCUGUGACAGCAUUAUGCAUUCACAGUGGAUUAAAGUGGAAGAAGAAACCAUUGAUAGAAGAAAACAAGGACAAAAAAUGUUACUGCUUUACAGUGGAGACAUUUUACUUAACACUCAAAGAAAAGAAAACACAGAUCUUCCCCUUCACAUCCCUUCUCCACGUACCUGCUGUGCUUCAAAAGAUGCCAUUGUACCUAGCUGCUUUGUGGAAGAAACGCUGUCUCUAUUCUGUUGAUUGAAGCAGAGCUGCCCCAACCUCAAGCCUCAUAGUCCAAGUUGUGCAUCUAGAAACAGAGGAAGGUGAAUCUGCUGUCUCAGAGAGGAAAGAAAUGAGGGUCAGGGGAUGCAGUCUUUCCAAAUGCUGAUAUCAUCAUGCUUGAGAAGGAAGAUGGCCAGAAGCAAACCAUCCCCUCUCACAGAGAGGAGCAGGUGGCAAACCCACCAGAGUCCUCACCCUCAGCACAGACCACCAGAACCCACCAGAGUCCUCACCCUCAGCACAGACCACCAGACCAGAGUCCUCACCAUCA